rnacentral:rRNA from 1 species
UACAGAGGUCCCAAGCGUUGUUCGGAUUCACUGGGCGUAAAGGGUGUGUAGGAGGUUUGGUAAGUCAGAGGUGAAAUCUUCGCGCCCAACGCGGAAACUGCCUCCGAUACUACCAGACUAGAGGCUCGGAGGGGCAAGCGGAAUUCUCGGUGUAGCAGUGAAAUGCGUAGAUAUCGAGAGGAACACCGGUGGCGUAAGCGGCUUGCUGGAAGAGACCUGACUCUGAAACACGAAAGCUAGGGGAGCAAACGGG